CCUACGGGAGGCAGCAGUGAGGAAUAUUGGUCAAUGGGCGCGGGCCUGAACCAGCCAAGUAGCGUGAAGGAUGACUGCCCUACGGGUUGUAAACUUCUUUUAUCAAGGAAUAAAGUGAGGCACGUGUGCCUUUUUGUGUGUACUUUAUGAAUAAGCAUCGGCUAACUCCGUGCCAGCAGCCGCGGUAAUACGGAGGAUCCGAGCGUUAUCCGGAUUUAUUGGGUUUAAAGGGAGCGCAGAUGGGGUGUUAAGUCAGUUGUGAAAGUUUGCGGCUCAACCGUAAACUUGCAAUUGAUAAUGGCAGUUUUGAGGACAGCUGAGGUAGGCCGAAAU
rnacentral:rRNA from 1 species